AGUGGGAUAGCUGGGUCAAAUGGUGGUUCCAUUCCAAGUUUUCUAAGGAAUAUCCGUACUGCUUUCCAGAUUGGUUGCACCAAUUUGCAGUCCCACCAGCCAU
rnacentral:pre_miRNA from 1 species